rnacentral:rRNA from 1 species
UGAGGAAUAUUGGUCAAUGGGCGGGAGCCUGAACCAGCCAAGCCGCGUGAGGGAGGAAGGCCCUAUGGGUCGUAAACCUCUUUGUCAGGGAACAAAAGCGAGUAUGUAUACUAGUCUGAGUGUACCUGAAGAAAAAGCAUCGGCUAACUCCGUGCCAGCAGCCGCGGUAAUACGGAGGAUGCGAGCGUUAUCCGGAUUUAUUGGGUUUAAAGGGUGCGUAGGCGGCGGUGCAAGUCAGCGGUAAAAGCCCGGGGCUCAACCCCGGCGAGCCGUUGAAACUGCAGUGCUAGAGAAGGCGAGAGGUACGCGGAAUGCGCAGUGUAGCGGUGAAAUGCUUAGAUAUUGCGCAGAACUCCGAUUGCGAAGGCAGCGUACUGGCGCCUGACUGACGCUGAGGCACGAAAAGCGUGGGGGAUCGAACAGGGAUUAGAUACC